rnacentral:rRNA from 1 species
GGGUGACGAGCGGCGGACGGGUGAGUAAUGUCUGGGAAACUGCCUGAUGGAGGGGGAUAACUACUGGAAACGGUAGCUAAUACCGCAUAACGUCGCAAGACCAAAGAGGGGGACCUUCGGGCCUCUUGCCAUCAGAUGUGCCCAGAUGGGAUUAGCUAGUAGGUGGGGUAAUGGCUCACCUAGGCGACGAUCCCUAGCUGGUCUGAGAGGAUGACCAGCCACACUGGAACUGAGACACGGUCCAGACUCCUACGGGAGGCAGCAGUGGGGAAUAUUGCACAAUGGGCGCAAGCCUGAUGCAGCCAUGCCGCGUGUGUGAAGAAGGCCUUCGGGUUGUAAAGCACUUUCAGCGAGGAGGAAGGUGGUGA